CCAAUUGCUAAUCACCUAUUCAAAGUCAGAAAGACAAUAAGUGAAACUCUCUAAAAGAUGCAUAGGACAUCAAUCAUCCAACUUAACUCAUCAAGUGCAAGAUCAAAUAAACCCUUAUCCCUCAUUUCAAACCAAACACAGCCUACAACAUAGUAUCUGUCAACAGCUAACAAAAUGUCAUGUACCAUAAAACUAGGAAUUAUACAAGUAAACGAAGUAAACCAAGCUAUGAACGCAACUAAUUGUGACUACUACUCAGAAACUCCAGAUUCUCAUUUCGAUUCCAACUCAAGCUUUACAUUAGGUGAAAUGCAGAAGGGUGUACCUGAAUAAUAGCAAAAUAGACCAAAAAUUAGUCUGAAACUAAGAGGAAGUGGCAGAAAUAGGCCAACAACAAUAGAAAUCAGCCACAGCUUAUAAUUCAAACCAUUUUCAAACCCAGAUGGAUCAGAAGUUGAUUCAGAAAUUGAAAACCUCCAAAUUCAGAAGAGGUUCAAUGAAAACAGUAAUUUUCAGUGAAUUUUUAGCUGCCUUUGUUUUUAUGUAUUUUAGCUCUUAAACUCUGCCUUGAAAGGCAAGAAAAGAUGCCUUUAUAGGCAAGGCAAGUAGGGCAGCCUUAAGGAAAUAGUUUAUGCACUCAGGCCCUUUGUGAAUUUUGGUUUUUGCUACUUAGUCCUUGACUAAUUUUUCUUUUUUUUCUUUUUCUGAACUACCCUUAAUGUAUUUAUUAAUUAACACAAACAGCCUCCACCCCAACUUCUAGGAAGCUUCUUAUUCCAGUUACCAUGAGAUUCCCUAGGCCAAAUUCCUAGACUACCCCCUCAUGUCCCUGAAAAUUACCCCUCCAACCAAAUACGGGUCAAGUUGACCCAGUAGAUUGAACCAGCCCCGGGCUCAAAAGCCAUUCGAAUCAUUUCCCACUUGGGCCUUGUGAUUCCACAAUUCGAAUUCAAUCUUGGCCAAACGGCCAUAUCUUAAUAGACUAAUCAACAUUUCUUAAAAGACCAAAAAAACUGUUGAAAUGAGGCUCAAACAAAGGAAAAAGAAUAAACGGACUAAUUGACUAAAUACAUAAACUACCCUGUCCCUAAACUAAUCAAUCAAAUAGAAAAGAAAAGAAAUGAAAGAAAAGUGAACACAUCAUGAAGAAAUGAGGGGAGGAGACAGAACAGCACAUGCAGCUGAGCUGAAUCAAAGAAAAAGAAGAAUGAUGCAAUAAAAGAAGAGAGAAAGGCCGGAACAGUACCUAAAACUGGACAAAUGCAAACUUGAAAACUUCGACGGAAUCUUCGAUUUCUUGACCAGAAUAGACAUUAAUCAUGUGUUCUCAAUGUGAAAACACAUGAAUAAAGUCUAUUACAAUCUUGAAUCUUCAAACAGGCCCGCCGAUUUGAUCAUUGGGAUUUAGGGUUAAAUUUCGAUCUGAAAUUUGAGAAGUUCCAAGAUGGUUCGAAGGCGAGUGUUUAGGGAUUUGGAAUGAGAGGGACAUGGUGGUUCUAUGGUGUAUUUUUGGAGUCGAUUGGGUAAACUAGGGUUCUGGUCUAACUUUCGAUUGAAGAUUCGAGAGGCUAGGCUGGGAUUCAAGAGUGAGGAUUUGGAGAUUUGUAAAGAGGAGAAGGAGAAGAGUCGAUGGUGUAAAAAUGGGGUUAAUCGGAGCAACACCGCCGGCGGAGGCGAUUUCCGACAGGCGACUCACGACGGUUCGAGGUGGCGCCUGGUUGGGGUCUCUGAGGGUUUGAGGGAGAUG
rnacentral:lncRNA from 1 species